AUUGAACGCUGGCGGCAGGCCUAACACAUGCAAGUCGAACGGUAGCACAGAGGAGCUUGCUCCUUGGGUGACGAGUGGCGGACGGGUGAGUAAUGUCUGGGAAACUGCCCGAUGGAGGGGGAUAACUACUGGAAACGGUAGCUAAUACCGCAUAACGUCGCAAGACCAAAGAGGGGGACCUUCGGGCCUCUUGCCAUCGGAUGUGCCCAGAUGGGAUUAGCUAGUAAGUGGGGUAACGGCUCACCUAGGCGACGAUCCCUAGCUGGUCUGAGAGGAUGACCAGCCACACUGGAACUGAGACACGGUCCAGACUCCUACGGGAGGCAGCAGUGGGGAAUAUUGCACAAUGGGCGCAAGCCUGAUGCAGCCAUGCCGCGUGUAUGAAGAAGGCCUUCGGGUUGUAAAGUACUUUCAGCGAGGAGGAAGGUGUUGAGGUUAAUAACCUCAGCAAUUGACGUUACUCGCAGAAGAAGCACCGGCUAACUCCGUGCCAGCAGCCGCGGUAA
rnacentral:rRNA from 1 species